UACGUAGGGACCAAGCGUUGUUCGGAUUUACUGGGCGUAAAGGGCGCGUAGGCGGCGUGACAAGUCACUUGUGAAAUCUCUGAGCUUAACUCAGAACGGCCAAGUGAAACUGUUGUGCUAGAGUGCAGAAGGGGCAAUCGGAAUUCUUGGUGUAGCGGUGAAAUGCGUAGAUAUCUGGAGGAAUACCGGUGGCGAAGGCGGCAUCCUGGACCGGCAUUGACGCUGAGGAGCGAAAGCCAGGGGAGCAAACGGG
rnacentral:rRNA from 1 species